AGCUCCAAUAGCGUAUAUUAAAGUUGCUGCAGUUAAAAAGCUCGUAGUUGCAUUUCCGAGGCAAGGGAUUAGUCCGACCUUUGGUGGGUAUUUAAUCCUCUUGCCUCGUCCUUGAGUGGUGCUUCUUGGUAUUAAGUUAUCGAGGAGAUAGCCGCUCAUCGUUUACUGUGAGAAAAUUAGAGUGUUCAAAGCAGGCUUAUGCCGUUGAAUAUAUUAGCAUGGAAUAAUAAGAUAGGACCUCGGUACUAUUUUGUUGGUUUGAGAACCAAGGUAAUGAGGAAUAGGGACAGUUGGGGGUAUGCGUAUUCAGUUGUCAGAGGUGAAAUUCUUAGAUUUACGGAAGACGAACUACUGCGAAAGCAUUUACCAAGGAUGUUUUCA
rnacentral:rRNA from 1 species